UUUUUCCCUCUUUUUCGCUUGAUGUACCACUACACGGGAGCAUGGGUGUGUAUAAAAGUGUCGCCUCUUCCAUCGGGCCAUACAGUCUGUGAAGAACCGACACUCAGGCAACAGCAAUGAAGGCAGUGUUUAUGCUGUGCGUGGUGCUGGUGGCGGUGGCCUCCGUACUGGCAGCUCCUGAACCCGAGGGCAGACCCAGGCUACCGCUACGGCGGCUACGGGGGCAUCGGUGGCUUCGGCGGCUAUGGCGGCUAUGGCGGUUAUGGCGGCUAUGGAGGCUACGGAGGCUUCGGUCACCGGGGUCUUGGAGGCUAUGGCGGCUUCCGUAGCUAUGGUUACGGUCGCGGCUAUGGUGGGCUACGGCGGCUAUGGUGGCUACGGUGGCUAUGGUUACGGCAGGCGUUAUGGUUAUUACGGAUAAAGAACGGCACGAGCUGAGCGUCUUGGAGCCAGUUACGACUUCCCUCUUACCUCCCGGGUCUGCACGGCGGCCGAAUGUAGAAUAUGUCUUUUUAAUGUCUGUAUAAACUGUAAGACCGUGUCUUUAAUACAUUUUCACACAAAA